rnacentral:rRNA from 1 species
CCUACGGGUGGCAGCAGUGAGGAAUAUUGGUCAAUGGACGAGAGUCUGAACCAGCCAAGUAGCGUGAAGGAUGACUGCCCUAUGGGUUGUAAACUUCUUUUAUAAAGGAAUAAAACGAGGCACGUGUGCCUGUUUGCAUGUACUUUAUGAAUAAGGAUCGGCUAACUCCGUGCCAGCAGCAGCGGUAAUACGGAGGAUCCGAGCGUUAUCCGGAUUUAUUGGGUUUAAAGGGGGCGUAGAUGGGUUGUUAAGUCAGUUGUGAAAGUUUGCGGCUCAACCGUAAAAUUGCAAUUGAUACUGGCAGUCUUGAGUACAGUUGAGGUAGGCGGAAUUCGUGGUGUAGCGGUGAAAUGCUUAGAUAUCACGAAGAACCCCGAUUGCGAAGGCAGCUUACUAAACUGUGACUGACAUUGAUGCUCGAAAGUGUGGGUAUCAAACAGGAUUAGAUACCCUUGUAGUC